AUUCCAGCUCCAAUAGCGUAUAUUAAAGUUGUUGCGGUUAAAAAGCUCGUAGUUGGAUUUCUGCUGAAGACGACCGGUCCGCCCUAGGGUGUGAUUCUGCGUUGUCUAAGGCAUUAUUCUGGAGUGUAAGGCUUCCGCUUUACAAUCUGGAAAUUUUACUUUGAGGAAAUUAGAGUGUUUCAAGCAGGCAAUAUAGCCUUGAAUACAUUAGCAUGGAAUAAUAAGGUAGGACUUCGGUUCUAUUUUGUUGGUUCCUAGAACUGAAGUAAUGAUUAAUAGGGACAGUCGGGGGCAUUCGUACUCAACAGUCAGAGGUGAAAUUCUUGGAUUUGUUGGAGACGAACUACUGCGAAAGCAUUUGCCAAGGAUGUUUUCAUUA
rnacentral:rRNA from 1 species